CGUCGCCACGGUAAUACGAAGGGUGCAAGCGUUACUCGGAAUUACUGGGCGUAAAGCGUGCGUAGGUGGUGGUUUAAGUCCGUUGUGAAAGCCCUGGGCUCAACCUGGGAAUUGCAGUGGAUACUGGGUCACUAGAGUGUGGUAGAGGAUAGUGGAAUUUCCGGUGUAGCAGUGGAAUGCGUAGAGAUCGGAAGGAACAUCUGUGGCGAAGGCGACUAUCUGGGCCAACACUGACACUGAGGCACGAAAGCGUGGGGAGCAAACAGGAUUAGAUACCCCGGUAGUCCCUGUCUCUUAUACA
rnacentral:rRNA from 1 species